GGGGGCCAUGGUUGGAGAUUCGAGUCCACAGGCCUGAGACUCCAUGUGUGAAAGUGAUUUUAGGAGAAGACUAAGUAUCCAGGGAUAGCAUCAUCAGUUCGUCUAAGCUAGAUACCUUGGACCUCACAUCACUUGCAGGUAUACAGAGGGAAAACCAAAACUGAGAGACUGCCAUUCCACCUGUGGAAAGGAGCCUGCUGCUUUGAGACUGUAAUGGCCACUCACAGAAGCUUUGUGUCUCUAAGCUGCCAGUGGUGGGUGUGAAGUACAGUACUGCCUGUGGUAUGAAGGGAAUCAACAGGAUGUGCUCUGAAGAGAGAAAAAAUCUGUAAGUAAAGUUUGAGGAUCACAGUGACACAGACACUUCCUUCACCCCUGAUUGUUAUCAUCAUAAAACUUCUACAAACUUGCCUAAUUAUUGCUUAUUGUUGUCAAAUCAAAAAUCAUAUCUUUAUUGUUAUGGUCAUUCAACCAGCAAAGCUUGUUGUUGUAUACACUUCCUCCCCUUAAAAACAAUCCACAGCAGGUUCCAACAAAUACAUACAUUUAAAAAAACUCACAAACACACACCAAAAUGACUGUCAAUACAACACAUCUAGCAGGGGAAAAAGAAGAAGGAGCAAAAAUAAAACAGACCAGAAGAAGAAUAUAGCAACCGUUUGCUGAAAAACCCAGGUCUUAACCUGGGAUCUGAAGGCCCAGAGUGUUGUGUCUAAUCCACACUAGGCAAUAUACAUAGGGAAAGGAAAACAAGUUCCUGCCCACCAGCUCACAACAAUCUAAGUAAGGACACUAAACAAGAGGAAGAUAAUGGAAUUUAUGAUUAAUUUAAUGCCCACAGAAUCUGCUUGCUACGAUGCUGGGACGAAUGUUGCCAUUACAGUGGAGGGAAAUGUAGGCUAAAAGGCAAGUGGCCUGGUUUCAGACUAGCCAGAGGUUUUCUUGAGAGCCCUGGGAUUUUGUUUUUUAAUUCAAAGGGGUCGUCUCACUAGCAGGGAGUGCAAAAGCAAGCCAUCUCAAGAGAGGGAGGAGCUGCUCUAUUAAUUUCCCUGGAGGCCAAUGGGGAAAGGGCCCAAGUACACUGCUCUCAGCUGCCUUUAACUCAAGAGAUCAUGGUACUGUUGUGGUGAUGUAGGAACACAAAUCAGAAACACAAAUGCCACUUGGCCCAAUUUAAUUGACUUUAGGAGCUUGUUGUUGUUGUUGUUGUAGCAGUAGCAGCAGCAGGAUGAUGAUGAUGAGCAGGACGACUGACUCUUUUUAAAAAGUGAGCUUGUGGCUAAGAGAGACUAUUGCUCUCUUUGAGCCAGUAUGUCUACUCUGACUGACAGUGGCUCUUCAUAGGCAGUCCUCCUUUCCCCAGCCCUAUCUGAGACUUUUGUGUGUUUUGUUUAAGACUCCAAGGUCUAAACCUAGGCUUUUCUACUGUGCCACCAAAAAUU